rnacentral:rRNA from 1 species
GUGUCAGCAGCCGCGGUAAUACAGAGACUGCAAGCGUUAUUCGGAUUCACUGGGCGUAAAGGGUGCGCAGGCGGUUGGGUGUGUCAGAUGUGAAAUCCCGAGGCUCAACCUCGGAACUGCGUCUGAAACUACUCGACUAGAGUACUGGAGAGGGUAACGGAAUUCACGGUGUAGCAGUGAAAUGCGUAGAUAUCGUGAGGAACACCAGAGGCGAAGGCGGUUACCUGGACAGUUACUGACGCUCAGGCACGAAAGCAUGGGGAGCAAAAGGGAUUAGAAACCCUCGUAGUCC